UACGUAGGGGGCAAGCGUUGUUCGGAUUUAUUGGGCGUAAAGAGCGUGUAGGCGGCUUGGUAGGUCCGCUGUGAAAACUCGAGGCUCAACCUCGAGAUGUCGGCGGAAACCACUUGGCUAGAGUCCGGAAGAGGAGAGUGGAAUUCCCGGUGUAGCGGUGAAAUGCGCAGAUAUCGGGAAGAACACCUAUGGCGAAGGCAGCUCUCUGGGACGGUACUGACGCUGAGACGCGAAAGCGUGGGGAGCGAACAGG
rnacentral:rRNA from 1 species